ACAGAGGAGAAAAAGAAGGCUCCUGCUCUGCUGAAAUCUUUAAGAAAAAGUCAAAGAAUUGCCAAGUUGUAAGAAAAAAAAAAACCUGUGAAAUGUUUGUCCCCAAAGUGUUUCAAAAGCAAGGCAGAAGCUUAUCUAUGAAAGAGCCAAGUGCCUUGUAGUCCACGAGGAAUAUAAACAGCUGUAUCAAGACAGGAUUCAAAAGGCCAGGAAGGUAAGAUCAGCUGGCAACAUCUACCAACCUUAAGAACCCAUGCUGGAUUUUUAUUUAAGACUCAGAGACACCAAUGCUGUAAGCCCAGAGGUCCACAAAAGGGUUUAGCUUCUUAACCUAAUUCUAGUCUUUAAUGACUUUUUAAGUUCAUCUGGGCUUCAUUUAACAUGCUGAGAACUGUUGAACAACAUACUGCAUUUGAGUGCCCAAAGUCAGCAAAUAACCUAAUCUGUCAGUAUAUUUAUUACAAAAUCAGUUAAGGAGUGAAUUGCCUUGAUAACCAUUUGUUUGUUCCACUGUUGGGCAUAAUCUGCAUGAUGGAACUGAUUAUAUUUAUAAUUGGAAGAAAAGGCUUCAAGGAAGUGAAUAAUGCUAUGUAGCCUUUCAAAUAAUCUAUGCAAGGUAGAAUAAAGAAAAAACAAAUCCAUUUUGUUGAAGGCAAAGAUGCUGGCAAAGAUGUAGAUCAA
rnacentral:lncRNA from 1 species